GAUCAUUGGCGGCGUGAUAGUGACAACGCAUGCGGCUGAAAACCUCGUGUUACUCAUUCAGAGUGGUCCUCAGUCAGAGCAUUAUGGUGUUUAUCUCUUCUUCUAUUGCUUCGCUGUUGCAGUAUCUCUCGUCUACAUUGUCAGUUCUUUCAUUAUGCUGAUGGUAGCGGAAAGGAGAGUGGUACUUGUCAUGGCCGUCUGGGUGGGGAUCACUGUACUACAGAUGACAGUCCUUGUAGCAUAUACCACUGUACACCAUUGUAGCGUCGCCGCUUUAGUACUUACCGGACUGGCCGUAGUUAGUCUGGUGUUCCACAUCUUCGUAGUGUAUUCGCACUGUAGAAUGAUACGAUUGGGUUACGAACCAGUGUAAAAAAAGAAGGAAAAUUGGUGAAGGAAAAUAUAUUAAUAACUCAAGAUAUUAUCAGAAGAAUGUUUUAUGAAGAAUUGAAGAGGACAAUCUUGGAGGAAGCAAAAAUAUCACUAAACGAGCUUUGUUAAGGUUUGAAGAUCAAUGUAAUGUUUCUUUUACGAGUUAUUGGUUAAGUCCACAGAUAAUGACA